UACGUAGGGGGCCAGCGUUGUCCGAAGUUACUGGGCGUAAAGAGCGCGUAGGCGGGUCUUUAAGUGGGGGGUGAAAUUCUGAGGCUCAACCUCGGAACUGCCUCCCAUACUGGGGACCUUGAGUGCGGGAGAGGCGAGUGGAAUGGUCGGUGUAGCGGUGAAAUGCGUAGAUAUCGAUCGGAACACCCAUGGCGAAGGCAGCGUCGCUGGCCUGACAACGUGACGCUGAGGCGCGAAAGCCCGGGGGAGCAAACAGGAAUUAGAG
rnacentral:rRNA from 1 species